AUGCUCGCUUUGGCAGCAUAUAUACUAAAAUUGGAAUGAUACACAGAAGAUCAGCAUGGCCACUGCACAAAGAUGACAUGCAAAUUUGUGAAGCGUUCCAUAUUUUA
rnacentral:snRNA from 1 species